GCCCCUGUUGUCUAAUGGUUAUGACGUCAGACUUCUACCAUCAGGUUAUCUGGAGGUUGCGGGUUCGAGUCCCGCCAGGGGUU